rnacentral:rRNA from 1 species
CCUACGGGUGGCAGCAGUGGGGAAUAUUGGGCAAUGGACGCAAGUCUGACCCAGCAAAGCCGCGUGAAGGAAGAAGGCUUUCGGGUUGUAAACUUCUUUUAAGGGGGAAGAGCAGAAGACGGUACCCCUUGAAUAAGCCACGGCUAACUCCGUGCCAGCAGCCGCGGUAAUACGGAGGAUGCGAGCGUUAUCCGGAUUUAUUGGGUUAAAAGGGUGCGUAGGCGGAAUGCCAAGUCAGCGGUAAAAGCGCGGGGCUCAACCUCGCUCCGCCGUUGAAACUGGCGUUCUUGAGUGGGCGAGAGGUAUGCGGAAUGCGUGGUGUAGCGGUGAAAUGCAUAGAUAUCGCGCAGAACUCCGAUUGCGAAGGCAGCAUACCGGCGCCCAACUGACGCUGAGGCACGAAAGCGUGGGUAUCGAACAGGAUUAGAUACCCCGGUAGUC